UACGUAGGGUCCGAGCGUUGUCCGGAAUUAUUGGGCGUAAAGAGCUCGUAGGCGGUUUGUCGCGUCUGCUGUGAAAUCUGGAGGCUCAACCUCCAGCCUGCAGUGGGUACGGGCAGACUAGAGUGCGGUAGGGGAGAAUGGAAUUCCUGGUGUAGCGGUGGAAUGCGCAGAUAUCAGGAGGAACACCGAUGGCGAAGGCAGUUCUCUGGGCCGUAACUGACGCUGAGGAGCGAAAGCGUGGGGAGCGAACAGG
rnacentral:rRNA from 1 species